GUGCUCACUUUGGCAGCACAUACGCUAAAACUGGAACUAUACAGAGAAGAUUAGCAUGGCCCCUGUACAAGGAUGGUACCCAAAUUCACAAAGUGCCACAUAUUAAA
ensembl:snRNA U6 U6 spliceosomal RNA